rnacentral:rRNA from 1 species
CCUACGGGGGGCUGCAGUGGGGAAUUUUGGACAAUGGGCGCAAGCCUGAUCCAGCCAUGCCGCGUGAGUGAAGAAGGCCUUCGGGUUGUAAAGCUCUUUCGGACAGAAAGAAAUCGCACAGGAUAAUACCUUGUGUGGAUGACGGUACUGUAAGAAGAAGCACCGGCUAACUACGUGCCAGCAGCCGCGGUAAUACGUAGGGUGCGAGCGUGGAUCGGAAUUACUGGGGGUAAAGCGUGCGGAGGCGGGUGAACUCCCCGGGCUUAAGCUGGGAACUGCAGUUGUGACUGUAAGGCUAGAGUACGGCAGAGGGGGGUAGAAUUCCACGUGUAGCAGUGAAAUGCGUAGAUAUGUGGAGGAAUACCGAUGGCGAAGGCAGCCCCCUGGGUCGAUACUGACGCUCAUGCACGAAAGCGUGGGGAGCAAACAGGAUUAGAUACCCUGGUAGUC